rnacentral:piRNA from 1 species
UGCUAUUUUUCUAUCUCUUAAGAGUGAUGC